ACAAAUUCUAGAAAGAAUGUCUGCCUGGAAUUUGCAUAAUAUGAGCAAUAUGCACUCAGAUGCCAGGUAGUGGCCCAGAUAUAUAUGUGGCCCAGAUCAUCUGAUUAAGAGGUACUAUAGCAGAAGAGGAUAUCUUACAAAGAAAUUGCCCAAUGAACCUAUACACUAUCAUUUUGGUCCCUUAGUUCUGCAUCUUGGUGCCCUUUCUGGAUUGGAUAUAUCUCAAUUCUCUGAAUAUUAAAAGACAACUUCAGACUUAACCUCUAAGCCUCAUUGAGGUAUGUCUUAGUUUGGAUUUUAUUGCUGCAAACAGACACCAUGACCACGGCAACUCUUAUAAAAAUAACAUUUAAUUGGGGCUGGCUUACAGGUUCAGAGGUUCAGACCAUUAUCAUCAAGGCAGGAGCACAGUAGCAUCCAGGCAGGCAUGAUGCAGGCACAGCUGAAAGUUCUACAUCUUCAUCUGAAGGCUGCUAGUGGAAGACUGGCUUUCAGGUAGCUAGGACUAGGAUGUAAAAGCCCACACCCACAGUGACACACCUACUCCAACAAGGUCAUACCUCCCAAAUAGUACCACUCCCUGGGCCAAGCAUAUUCAAACCAUGACAAGGUAUUAAUGACUGCCUCGAUUGUGCUCCUGUGCCCGGGAUUUGGAGAUUGAUAUUUCAAGCAUGAUCCUCUAAACAAGAAUUUAGAUUAUAGUGUCUUGCUGCCCUUUAAAAUCAUACUGGGUGAUAGUGACAAUAAAAGCAGUUAACAAGCACCUGUAGUGUAUAUAGUACCCCAAAUCCUAAUUGUGGUUAAUAGUACAGGCAAUCCUCAAAGCAAGGUCAUUUGCAUUUCUCAGGCAAGGGAGGGGAGUCCCAGGGGAGCAAGUCCUUUUCUAUUCUUCUCACAGCUCUAAAUUGGCUGCUAGGUUGUGCCCCCAUAUCUGACACACGAUAACACAUUUAAACUAGAGAUGGGAACUGUGAGCUGUCAUUUUUGGUUUCUGUUCUUGCAUCAAAAAUCAUUUUCUGAAAUCAGUAUCAACUGUCACCACUCGCAAAAAUAUGGUUACGAGCCAAGUAUCCUCAUCAAAUACUAAGGCUUCCUCUGUCCUUAUCUGUAGUAUUUAUAGCUUGUAGUAAUAGAAUCAAUUAUACAAGUUCAUUUCUAAACAGUAUAAAAAGUAAGCAUUGGUGUACCAUAGUGCAAACAUAUCAAUGCAAAAAGAAAAAUAAGUAAUGUUGUAAGUUUAACUUCCUCUUUCCCAGAGAGGAACAAGAAGCCCAACUGGUACCUGGGAUUCCUGGAGUGCCUCUGCACCUCACCUGUAAACUCAAGUCAGUGACUUUACAAUCACCCUGAAAACUCCCUCCAACCCUUCAAGGUUCAUAUAUAGCCCUUGUCAACCCCAAAUAAAGUAUAUGAAUACAAGUCUACCCCAAGAUUCUCUAAGAGAACUGUUUCCUUAAAAUUCCAGACAAACACCCCUGAACAAUCUGAUCUGGGAUCCUAAUGACCCCACUGGUCCAGGCCUCUUCUAGCCUGGACCAAUAUCCUCCCAGCCAGGUGUGCAUUAGUGCCUGAACAUUCUAAGGGAGGAAACAGAGGACAGAACCACACCCUAACAAGCACGAGAUCUAGAAUUCUGACCCUUAAAACUGUUGUAAAUAUUGAUAGACUUGGUGGCUGGCAUGUAAUUCUAGCCUUGGAAAUGAGAGACAGGGAGCCCCAGAGCAGGUUGGCUAGCAAGACCAGUCCUACUGAUGAACCUGAAGUUUUAUUAAAAUACCUUGCCUCAAGUAAUUAAGUGGAAGGACAGUGGGAGAUGAUUGUCAGCAUCAGCCUCAGGCCUAAACAUGCGCUGACAUAUAUGUCCAUGUGCAUAGCCACUCACAUGCACAGCAUGCAUACAUACACACAUGCAUACUACAUACACAUAUACACACAUAUACACACAAACAUAUGGAGGAGAGGGGGUGGAACAAGAGAAAAAUUAUUUCUAUCCAGAUAAAUCCAGAGCACCUCAAUUCAAAACAGAAACCCAAAUAUAUUUUAUGUGAAUCUUUAAAACUACCAUAGCAAAAUGCAGUAAAACCUUUGGACAUAUGAGAAACAAGCCAUCAAGGACAUAUUCAUAAACUUGACCCUAUAAAAAUUUAAAUACAAAAGUCACAUCAAAGAUACCAUAAUAGGCAAAGUUAAAGCAUGAAUAAUAGGUUAGAAAAGGAUAAUUAAAUGACAAAAGAUCAUUAUCCAGGCUAUUGUAGCAAAUUCACAAAGAUGACAAAACAAAAGAGGGAAACACUCAAAAUAUGAGUUAGAAAUGGGCUAGGAUGGUUAGGUUUAAGAUGCUUAGAGGAAUAUUUUCAUUCCAUGACCAUGUUUGUGUUCCCACCAUCAUGCUGUUUUUACUAUGUUUCUUCCUGCUUUUAGUCCUCCUGGAGUUCCUGUGGGAAUGACUGCCUAGAGAUAACUGAAUUGAUUAAUCUGCAUCAUAUUCAUGUGAAAACAAUCACAUUCUUGCAGCCAUCAGGUUUAUAGCAGCUGGAGGUGAACACAUGUGUGUGAGUAGCAGCUUCCUGUCAAAACAAAGAUAACCUCAGAGUGGGAAGGGGGUAGUAACCUCAACAACACAGACUUCAGCCUGUGAGUAUGGCUGGUUGUAAUUCAAAAGUGAAGGUCAUGCAUAUCAAGUACAGCAGAGUUUUGAUUUUAAGAUUAGACUAAAUUGACACAAUUUAUAAAGGGUGCAUAGUCCUUUAAAAACAAAAGUGGAUUUUGUGUGAUACAGACCCUAAGGCCCUUCACUUUGCACUGAGCACUAAUAGCCCAAAGCUGCUACCUUCUUGUGGUUUCCUACUGAAGAGUGCUGUCUUCCGCAAGACCCGAUACAUCCUACCCAACUAGAUACAGGUUGAAAGUCAGUCUCAUCAUUCAAUCCUUCUGGAGACAAGAUUUAUAUCUAAAUAUCUAUAUAUCCCAAGUUUAGUCACAGCUUUAAUUAUUCUUUCUAUAUUAGAUUUCACAACUUCUCACUCCGAGGUCUCUAGCUCAGGUUAGUUUAUUCUUGAUGCUCAUUUCCCAAACACAUGGACUGUACUCCAUACCCCAUCAAGUGAAGCAUAAGACAUUGUCAAUCAACUGUGAAGGAUUAGCAUAAAAUAUAAACAAGUAAUUAUAUGUGUAUGAGGGACCAAAAGAAACAACAGAGCGUUGGGAGUAGCAUAUUUAUAUUUAACCAAGAAGUUAAAUAUUCUGUCUACAAAAUAAAAAGAAAAAAGUCAGGUAAUAUAGCUGAAUCUCUUAGCAGCUUUCCAUAUAGAAGCCAUGGUAAUAGAUCUAUGGAUCAAUCAUGGAAAUUCAAAAAAGAAAAAGAAAAGUGUAAAUGCAUUGUGAUUAAUAAUGAAAAAAGCUAAAUGUCAUUGUUUUCUGACUAAAGUAAAAGCUGGUGUCCAUUCCUGAUACCAUCAAUACACUUGUGAAAAAAAAGUCAAUACAUACACAAUCCAAAGAUUUUCUUUCCAUUCCAUUUGAGUCUGAGAGUUAUUUAAUUUGAACUGAGCUGCCCUCAGUGUCCUUAAAAGCUAUAAAUUUUGUUAUUUACUUCAAUUUCUUCAAGAUAAAACAUAUUAGAGUCUAAAGGUUACUUUAGAGGCAAAUUAAAAAGAUCUCAAUAACAUAUAUAAAGGUAUGCUUAUAUGUUUGUGUGUGCAUAUGUAUGCUGUGUGUUGUCUACAUAGACCUUAUCACCUCAGGUGGGGG
rnacentral:lncRNA from 1 species